GACUCUCGACAAUGGAUAUCUCAGCUCUUACGUCAAUGAAGAAUGCAGAAAAAUGCAAUACUUGGUGUGAAUUGCAGAAUCAAGUGAAUCAUCGAGUCUUUGAAUGCAAGUUGCACUCGAAGCCAUUAGGUUGAGGGUACGUCUGCUUGGGUCUCA